AAGGUAGAUGUAAAUUUGCAUCUUUUUUUCCCAGGGAGAGCAAUGUUUCUUCACUGUGAAAUGAAUAUCAAAGUUGGAGAAAUCAGUCAUUUGUGAACUAAUACAUUUGUAAAAUGGCUUUUCAUAGCUAGACAGCUGCAGAGGCAGAGAAAAAUGCAGAGGCUGAAGUGGGAGGAGUGUGUUCAGGAGAUGCCUGAUCUUCGAGAAAGGUCCCCGGCGGUGACCUGCACACGGUGCUCUCCCUUACCUCACACACACCUCGAAUACUUGGCCAUGCUGCUCAGGGGAUCGUGUCGUUCGUGUGGCACACUGUUUGUGAAGGAGGAGGCCUCCUUGAGCUGAGAUGAACCACCUUUCCUGAUUCCUGCGUAAUACCCCCAACUCUGCUCAUUUGGUCUCUGGGUAAAUCCUCCUAAUGGUGGGGCACAUGGAGUGGCAGACAUCCAGUGAUCCAUGUGACCCUCUGUGCCUGACUUCGCCAGCCAUGGGCAUUUGACAAAUAUAAACAAAGGGUGCCUGCCCCUCCUGCCAGUGGAACGAUAUAGAAGCCGUGAAGAGUUCUGGGUGGAAUUGUGGCUGUAAUUUAUUCCACACCAUGGGAAAUAGACGUCUUUCCCGAAGUGGUAAAGAAACCUUUUUAAACAAUGAAGUGUCAUGGUGUGCACAUGGAUGGUGAUGUCAUC